rnacentral:rRNA from 1 species
AGAACGAACGCUGGCGGCAGGCCUAACACAUGCAAGUCGAACGCCGUAGCAAUACGGAGUGGCAGACGGGUGAGUAACGCGUGGGAACAUACCCUUCGGUUCGGAAUAACUCAGGGAAACUUGAGCUAAUACCGGAUACGUCCGAGGUUUUAAUCGACCUUGGAGAAAGAUUUAUCGCCGGAGGAUUGGCCCGCGUCUGAUUAGCUUGUUGGUGAGGUAAUGGCUCACCAAGGCGACGAUCAGUAGCUGGUCUGAGAGGAUGAUCAGCCACAUUGGGACUGAGACACGGCCCAAAACUCCUACGGGAGGCAGCAGUGGGGAAUAUUGGACAAUGGGCGAAAGCCUGAUCCAGCCAUGCCGCGUGAGUGAUGAAGGCCUUAGGGUGUAAAGCUCUUUUACCGGAAGAUAAUGACGGUACCGGGAGAAUAAGCCCGGCUAACUUCGCGCCAGCAGCCGC